rnacentral:lncRNA from 1 species
CUAUACAAGAUAUUGAUUUUAAAAAAAAAAAAUUCAGAACCGCCGGAACCGGAACUGCCAGAACCGGAACCGGAUGGUACUCGAAACCGAAUGGUAGCGGUUCCGGGUCCGGAACCGCCAGAACCGGAAUCGCCAGAAGCGCCAGAACCGGAACCGCCAUAACUGAAACCGCCAGAACCGGAAUCGCAGACCCAAAUAGACCCAGAACCGGAACCGGAUACAGCCUUAUCAUAGAGUUUGUAACCCUUUUUGGCAAAAGGAUACCCUAGGAACACACAGGAAAUGGCUCUAGGUUUCAACUUGUCCCUUUGAGGAAUUGGGACAGUAGCAUAGGUAAGGCACCCAAAUGCUCUCAAAUGAGAGUAGGUUGGUGCCUUUCCAUGCAAAAUUUCAUAAGGAGAUUUAUUAUGAAGGAGUCUGGAUGGUAUUCUGUUAAGAAGAUAGGUGGCAGUUAGUAAGCAGUCCCCCCAGAAAGAGAUGGGUAAGCCAGAUUGAAAGAGUAAAGCUCUACAUGUCUCAAGAAGAGUCGUCUGGAUGGUAUUCUGCUAAGAAGAUAUGUGGCAGUUAGUAAGCAAUCCCCCCAAAAAGAGAUGGGUAAAGCCAGAUUGAAAGAGUAAAGCUCUACAGGUCUCAAGAAGAGUCCUAUGCUUCCUUUCAACAACACCAUUCUGUUGAGGAGUAUGGGGACAUGUUGUUUGAUGAAUAAUGCCUUGUUGGCUAAAGAAAGAUGCACCAUCAAUGCUAGACCCCAAUUCCAAAGCAUCGUCACUUCAUGAAUAAUCCCUUGGUUACUAAAUAAAGAAGCAUCAUCAAUGCUAGACCCUAAUUCCAAAGCAUUAUCACUUCUAACAGUUUGAACCACAACAUUAAACUGGGUUUUAACCAUACACAUAAAUGAUUUAAGCAAGCAGAAAGCAUUGCUUUUAGACCCAGUAAGUGUGUCCAGGUUGCCCUAAAGAAAUCAUCAACUAUUGUAAGAAAAUAUCUAGAACCAGAAGAAGUAGGUGUUUGAUAGGGGCCCCAAGUAUCCACAUGAAUCAACUGGAAAGGUCUAGAAGUACUUAUUGUGCUAUCAGGAAAGGAAGUCUAGUAUGUUUAGCCAUAUGACAUAUAGAACAAGGGAAAUGAUGCUUAGAAGAAAAUGGAAAAGACAAUCCAGAAAUGUAUUUCAUGUUUGCAAAUGAAGAAUGAGCAAGUCUCAAAUGCCAAAUGUAAUUCAUGUCAGUUGUAACAACAUUAUUACAGAUGGA